GUUAGAGUGUAGAGGCGGCAGGGUAGCCUAGUGGUUAGAGUGUAGGGGCGGCAGGGUAGCCUAGUGGUUAGAGUGUAGAGGCGGCAGGAUAGCCUAGUGGUUAGAGUGUAGAGGCGGCAGGGUAGCCUAGUGGUUAGAGUGUAGAGGCGGCAGGGUAGCCUAGUGGUUAGAGUGUAGAGGCGGCAGCCUAGUGGUUAGAGUGUAGAGGCGGCAGGGUAGCCUAGUGGUUAGAGUGUAGAGGCGGCAGGUUAGCCUAGUGGUUAGAGUGUAGAGGCAGCAGGGUAGUCUAGUGGUUAGAGUGUAGAGGGGGCAGGGUAGCCUAGUGGUUAGAGUGUAGAGGGGGCAGGGUAGCCUAGUGGUUAGAGUGUAGAGGCGGCAGGUAGCCUAGUGGUUAGAGUGUAGAGG
ensembl:lncRNA